UUAAUGAUUGCAAUCCAACGGCCUGUGUUAAUAGCUGCAAAUCUCAACGGCAGACAAGGUUUCUUCAUGCUUGCGGGACUCGCGCGGGACUCAUCUUCUAUUAGAAAGAGAGUCGAGAGAAUCCGAUCGAGAACGUUCUUUGGUUCAUAGCAGAGAGGUUUCAGGCGAAGAACAAAAAAGGAGAAGAUAAGAAGACGAAGAAGAUCUUAGAAUCUUCAGUCGAAGAAAGCAAGAAAGUAAAUAUUUGGACUUAUUUGGACUUCUUUCUAGGGUUUAGUCUUUUUGUUUUUGUUUCUUCUACAGAUUUACGUCGAUUUGCAGUAUAGAUGUUAAUGGAGUGAGAAAGAAGCUUCAAAGUCUGAUAUGGAGUUUCACAGACACAAUAAAGGUUCAGUGGAGCCAAUAUUCAAAUCAAAGACAAACAGAAGGAAAUAAAAGAAUGAAACCUACAAACGACCAAGAAGAGGGAAAAAAAAGAGUAUGAAAAGAGGAGGAAGUAACACCGUUUUUUGAGUACUAAUACUUCCCUUCCACUCUUAAAUCUCUCUAUUUGAUUGACCCACCUGAAGAAUGAAUAGUAUUUCGAGAAAGAUAAGACGCAUUAACAAAAGAGAAACAAAGGCCAUGGCGUCGAUCUCCAUCUCUGGUUAUUAUUUUUCUAUUAAAAAAUUUUCUCUCUUCCCUCUACCUUCUACUUGACGUCACCGGCCGCUUUACUCUACUUUUCUUCCCCCCUCUUCUCAUAUAUAUUGAACCGCUUGCAUGUCUUUAGCAAGUAUAUAACUCUAGUACGAAGUACAUAUUUGAUUACA